UCCGUCUCUGGGGCAGCUAGGUGACGCAGUAGAUAGAACACCUAGUUUGGAGUUGGAAUGGCUUGGGUUCAAGUCUGGCCUCAGAUACUUCCUAGUUGCUUCCUAGUUCUCUAGGACAAAUCACUUAAUCCCACUGAAAGAAAGAGAGAGAAAAACAGGAAGGAAGGAAGGAAGGAAGGAAGGAAGGAAGGAAGGAAGGAAGGAAGGAAGGAAGGAAGGAAUGCCCAUCUUCAAAAUGCUUUAUUUCAGAAACUAGGACAAAAAUCUUUCCCUUAUAGAAACUAUGGAAUAAUACCUAAUCAUACACAAUAAUGAGGACAUUUAGAAAUGCAUAGAUUAUAGUACUGUCUCAGAAAAUAUCCUUCUUUUUAUGGAAUCAUAGAUUUGGAGCUAGAAGGGACCUCAUAGAUCAUUCAAGGGUGCUUUUAAUAUUUCAAUAAUUUUUUUUUAAAUCAAUGGUUUCCUUUGCAAUCCUCUGUAUUUUAUCAUAUGCAUUUAAAAACACUCUUCUGAGAAUUGGACAAUAGUCUUCACCAGACAGCCAAAGGAAGCCAGGACACACACAAAAAGUUUAAAAAUUUUGAUCUAGUCUAAUCCCUUUGAUAGAGAAGAAACCAGUACCCAGAGACUUUCAGCAACUAAUCCAAGGUCCCACAGACAGUAAAUCCAAAGGCUGGGAUUCAAACUUGGAUGCCCUCACUCUAAAUCCAGAACUCUUCUCAUGGUCCCUUGCCAUCUCUCUGGAGUUGUUGAUUCUCUUCUCGCUUUGUCAUGGAGCUUUAAUGAAUUUGUGUUCUUAGGGUUUUCCCUGGGUCCCCCAUUUAGCAGGGAACUGACUUUCUCCCCAAGGACCCCCUAGUAUGAGGCCAGGUUGGAAGUGUGAAUGCUUAGAUCAGCCUCUCUCUACAGGGCGGAUUACAAACCCGAACCCCCAGCCUACACACCCAGCUUUUAUGAUGGCUGGCAGCUCCCACCCCCAUCUUGAGUCCAUCAAGGAGGAUGCUGAGGCCCUGGCAGAGUGGCAGACUGGAGGAUCUCAGUCCUGCUUCUUCCUUUUCUCAUUUUGGAAAUGCUUCCUCUGCUCUUCUCUGCCCUCCAUCAACUACCCACAAUUAACUUUGUCCCAGGAAAUAAAGAGAGAAGUUUUGAAUUUCAGAGUCAGAAGGAAUCUCGGACCAGGAAUGCCCUCGAUGAUGCACCCUUAUACUAAGCAGUCCUCCAGUCGUGGCUUGAAGAUGCCCAAGGAGGGGGGAGCCCACUCCCUCUUGAGUAGCCCAUUCUGCUCUGGGACAGUUUUUUUUUUCCCCUUAAACCCUUACCUUCUGUCUUAGAACCAAUACUUUGUAUAGGUUCCCGGGCAGAAGAGUUGUAAGUAGUAGGCAAAGGGGGUUAAGUGACUUGCCCAGGAUCACAUGGCUAGGAAGGGUCUUAGGUCACAUUUGAACCCAGGACCUCUCAUCUCCAGACCUGGCUCUUUACCUACUUAGCUACCUGGGACAGAGCUCAAUUUGCUUCUUUACUACUUAAAUCCCUUGUUCCUAGUUCUACCUCUUCUAGGGCUAAACAUAGCCAGAAUAUCUCUCCCUCCGAUCCAGUUCUCUUUUCCAGGGUGUAUGUUUCUCUCCCCUUCAACUCAUCCCCUUAUGAAAUCAAAUCAAAGACCUUCCCCAUUCUGGUUGAGGCAAAAAAGUCUUUUUAGCCCCUGCUAAAGUCUAGAGGCAGCCCUCAAUUCAACAUACUUACCUUUUCUUCUUACUUGUACCCAAUCCCAAAAUCCUGAACAUUUAUUCUGCCCUAUCCCUGGCACUUCUCCCAAUAAACCAAUGUUUCUAACCA
rnacentral:lncRNA from 1 species